UUUUGUGAAUUUCCCCCCCUCAGGAAUCGUCGGAGCCGCCGCGGAAAAAGAGAAAAAAACCCAAAAUGGGGAAAAGAAAAGGGAGAAAAGGUUUUCGCCGUCGCCGCUGAAUUCGCCAAUAAAACGUCGUGGCCUCGUUUGCAUCUCA